GGUGAACGCUGGUGGCGUGCUUAAGACAUGCAAGUCGAACGGCAGUCUUCGGACUGUAGUGGCGCACGGGUGAGUAACGCGUAACUGACCUACCCCAAAGUCGCGGAUAACGAUUCGAAAGAAUCGCUAAUACGUGAUGUGCUGUCAGAUUGUGUUCUGCCAGUAAAGAUUGAUUGCUUUGGGAUGGGGUUGCGUUCCAUCAGCUAGUUGGUGGGGUAAAGGCCCACCAAGGCGACGACGGAUAGCCGGCCUGAGAGGGUGGCCGGCCACAGGGGCACUGAGACACGGGUCCCACUCCUACGGGAGGCAGCAGUUAGGAAUCUUCCACAAUGGGCGAAAGCCUGAUGGAGCGACGCCGCGUGAGGGAUGAAGGUCUUCGGAUCGUAAACCUCUGAAUCAGGGACGUAAGACACUUCGGUGGGAUGACGGUACCUGAGUAAUAGCACCGGCUAACUCCGUGCCAGCCGCCGCAGUAAUAC
rnacentral:rRNA from 1 species